rnacentral:rRNA from 1 species
CCUACGGGUGGCAGCAGUAGGGAAUCUUCCGCAAUGGACGCAAGCCUGACGGAGCAACGCCGCGUGAGGGAUGAAGGUCUUCGGAUCGUAAAACUCUGUCAGCAGAGAAGAACAAGCGCUAUAGUAAUCGGCAGCGCCUUGACGGUACCUAACCAGAAAGCCACGGCUAACUCCGUGCCAGCAGCCGCGGUAAUACGUAGGGUGCGAGCGUUGAUCGGAUUUAUUGGGCGUAAAGCGAUCGUAGGCGGUACGUUAAGUCAAGUGUGAAAUCCCCGGGCUCAACCGGGGAACGGCAUUGGAAACUGGCAAACUGGAGUGUGUGAGAGGAGAGUGGAAUUCCAGGUGUAGGAGUGAAAUGCGUAGAUAUAUGGAGGAACAGCAGUGGCGAAGGCGACUAUCUGGCAUAUAACUGACGCUGAGGAGCGAAAGCGUGGGUAGCAAACAGGAUUAGAUACCCCAGUAGUC